CCUGCUUGCCCUUGGGCAGGUCAUUUGCCUUGAACAGAUUUCUGAAUAAGAAAAUCCCUUUCCCUUUUAUCACGUUUGAGAAGAUCGUGACAGACACGCGUCUGUUUACACGGCCAUGCAGGCCUGUUUUGCUCAUCCCUUGGCAAACUGCCACCCAGUGAUGAAUUUCAGAGGCGUAAGAAUGUGGCUGAAAGCAAGAAUGUGGGCACAGGCUCCCGCUGAGGUCACCACAUGCGAGAUGUAUUCCAAAAGCAUUGCUCAGUUAUAAGAGAAGACGAUUAAAAAAUCCGUGCAGGAGAAUAGAAGAAGCUAAAUAUAUCUCAGCCUCUAACAUCAUGUCAAUGAAAAGUAAAAUUUACCAAUUGGAUAACACACAUGUCUUGCACUGACCACUGUCUAUACUUGGAGUUGGUAGUUUUCAUUGAUCGAAUGCUGCCAAGUCCGUGAUAUUUCUAGCUAUUACCUCCAAUUUCUGGAAGGAAGAAGCCAAACAGUGAAUGUCUUAACAGGAGUAAAUGAAAACAGGUGCCAGGAAAACAGAAAGAUGAAUGUUAAGGUCCUAACAUAUGGCGACUAGAACUACCUUGGGUACCACAUGGUCCUGUGGAACUGGCCCUCCCUGUAUUGGACAUGGAUUUGGCUCAUCCUCCUGAUAAAUGUUCAUGAAAAGCUCUCGACAGAACGCAGCAGGUGUGUCGGGUGGAAUAUUUGCUUUUUUGAAGGGCUGCUGAACUUCCUAUGGAGACGACGAACUACCCACGAGGUGUCUGUGUUACCCACGUAUUUCACCCAAACACAGUCUAAAGAACACCUGGAUAGAACAUUUCACUUCUUACGGAGCUGGAAGAUUAGUUUGAAUCUAUAAUGAGUCUGUUUAUAUCCCCGAAGUAACACUGCGUGGUCUAGUCUGCUUUUAGAAUAUAAAUAAUAACUGCUUCACCAAAGACACCAUCCCUGGGCCCACAGGGAGCCCUUGGGGUCUCAGAAGAGUUGCAAGAUUAGAAUCCCAAGUGAUAACCUGAGAUGGAAUCAGAAAGGCGUUGACAGGCCCUGGAGAGCUGUGUAAGCCCCUUCCCACACGAUGGGAGUGAGGCGAUCCGCUUUCAGAAUAAAAUGUGUGUGUGUGUUUGUGUGUGUGUGUGU
rnacentral:lncRNA from 1 species